AGUGAACGCUGGCGGUAGACCUAACACAUGCAAGUCGAACGGCAGCACAGUAAGAGCUUGCUCUUACGGGUGGCGAGUGGCGGACGGGUGAGGAAUACAUCGGAAUCUACUUUUUCGUGGGGGAUAACGUAGGGAAACUUACGCUAAUACCGCAUACGACCUACGGGUUAAAUCAGUGGAUCUUCGUACCUUGCGCGAUUGAAUGAGCCGAUGUCGGAUUAGCUAGUUGGCGGGGUAAAGGCCCACCAAGGCGACGAUCCGUAGCUGGUCUGAGAGGAUGAUCAGCCACACUGGACCUGAGACACGGUCCAGACUCCUACGGGAGGCAGCAGUGGGGAAUAUUGGACAAUGGGCGCAAGCCUGAUCCAGCCAUACCGCGUGGGUGAAGAAGGCCUUCGGGUUGUAAAGCCCUUUUGUUGGGAAAGAAAAGCAGCAGGUUAAUACCCCGCUGUUCUGACGGUACCCAAAGAAUAAGCACCGGCUAACUUCGUG
rnacentral:rRNA from 1 species